rnacentral:rRNA from 1 species
GGCGUAAAGCGCAUGCAGGUGGCUUCGUAAGUUGGACGUUAAAUCUCCCGGCCUAACCGGGAGGAGUCGUUCAAUACUGCGGGGCUGGAGUCCUGUAGAGGGGGGUAGAAUUUC